AGAUGCUAAUACCGUAUAACAAUAGCAACCGCAUGGUUGCUACUUAAAAGAUGGUUCUGCUAUCACUAAGAGAUGGUCCCGCGGUGCAUUAGUUAGUUGGUGAGGUAAUGGCUCACCAAGACGAUGAUGCAUAGCCGAGUUGAGAGACUGAUCGGCCACAAUGGGACUGAGACACGGCCCAUACUCCUACGGGAGGCAGCAGUAGGGAAUCUUCCACAAUGGGCGAAAGCCUGAUGGAGCAACGCCGCGUGUGUGAUGAAGGGUUUCGGCUCGUAAAACACUGUUGUAAGAGAAGAAUGACAUUGAGAGUAACUGUUCAAUGUGUGACGGUAUCUUACCAGAAAGGAACGGCUAAAUACGUGCCAGCAGCCGCGGUAAUACGUAUGUUCCAAGCGUUAUCCGGAUUUAUUGGGCGUAAAGCGAGCGCAGACGGUUAUUUAAGUCUGAAGUGAAAGCCCUCAGCUCAACUGAGGAAUUGCUUUGGAAACUGGAUGACUUGAGUGCAGUAGAGGAAAGUGGAACUCCAUGUGUAGCGGUGAAAUGCGUAGAUAUAUGGAAGAACACCAGUGGCGAAGGCGGCUUUCUGGACUGUAACUGACGUUGAGGCUCGAAAGUGUGGGUAGCAAACAGGAUUAGAUACCCUGGUAGUCCACACCGUAAACGAUGAGUGCUAGGUGUUUGAGGGUUUCCGCCCUUAAGUGCCGCAGCUAACGCAUAAGC
rnacentral:rRNA from 1 species